rnacentral:tRNA from 1 species
CAAGACGUAGCUUAAACAAAGCAUCU